UAUUUGAAUAAUCAUGAUGUUAGAAAAUUACUAUCAUUAAAUCUCACAAUGAGAGAUAUUCAGCAACAGUACUUUGGAGUAAAGAUUGUUAGCCAACAUAACAUGGCAGUCCUGGUUUAGAACGAAUGUUGCUGUAAUUUAGCCCCAGGAUACAUCAU